CUACGGGGGGCUCCAGUGGGGAAUAUUGCACAAUGGAGGAAACUCUGAUGCAGCAACGCCGCGUGGAGGAUGACACUUUUCGGAGCGUAAACUCCUUUUAUAUAGGAAGAAGAUGACGGUACUAUAUGAAUAAGCGCCGGCUAACUCCGUGCCAGCAGCCGCGGUAAUACGGAGGGCGCAAGCGUUACUCGGAAUCACUGGACGUAAAGAGCGUGUAGGCGGAUUAAAAAGUCAGAAGUGAAAUCCUAUAGCUUAACUAUAGAACUGCUUCUGAAACUCUUAAUCUAGAAUAUGGGAGAGGGAGAUGGAAUUUCUGGUGUAGGGGUAAAGUCCGUAGAGAUCAGAAGGAAUACCGAUUGCGAAGGCGAUCUACUAGAACAUUAUUGACGCUGAGACGCGAAAGCGUGGGGAGCAAACAGGAUUAGAUACCCGCGUAGUC
rnacentral:rRNA from 1 species